rnacentral:lncRNA from 10 species
CCCAUAUCCCUGAUGAACAUCGAUGCGAAAAUCCUCAAUAAAAUACUGGCAAACCAAAUCCAGCAGCACAUCAUAAAGCUUAUCCACCACGAUCAAGUUGGCUUCAUCCCUGGGAUGCAAGGCUGGUUCAACAUAUGCAAAUCAAUAAAUGUAAUCCAUCACAUAAACAAAACAAACAACAAAAACCACACGAUUUUCCCAACAGAUGCAGAAAAGCCUUCCACAAAAUUCAACAUCCCUUCAUACUAAAAACUCUCAAUAAAC